AUCCGGCUGACGAGUCCCAAAUAGGACGAAACGCGCGUCCUGAAU
rfam:Schistosoma mansoni strain Puerto Rico chromosome 1, complete genome